rnacentral:rRNA from 1 species
CCUACGGGAGGCAGCAGUGGGGAAUUUUGGACAAUGGGCGCAAGCCUGAUCCAGCAAUGCCGCGUGAGUGAAGAAGGCCUUCGGGUUGUAAAGCUCUUUUGUCAGGGAAGAAACGGUGGGGGCUAAUAUCUCCUGCUAAUGACGGUACCUGAAGAAUAAGCACCGGCUAACUACGUGCCAGCAGCCGCGGUAAUACGUAGGGUGCAAGCGUUAAUCGGAAUUACUGGGCGUAAAGCGUGCGCAGGCGGUUUUGUAAGUUUGUCGUGAAAUCCCCGGGCUCAACCUGGGAAUGGCGAUGAAGACUGCGAGGCUAGAAUCUGGCAGAGGGGGGUAGAAUUCCACGUGUAGCAGUGAAAUGCGUAGAGAUGUGGAGGAACACCGAUGGCGAAGGCAGCCCCCUGGGUCAAGAUUGACGCUCAUGCACGAAAGCGUGGGGAGCAAACAGGAUUAGAUACCCUGGUAGUCCACGCCCUAAACGAUGUCUACUAGUUGUCGGGUUUUAAUUAACUUGGUAACGCAGCUAACGCGUGAAGUAGACCGCCUGGGGAGGUACGGUCGCGAAGAGUUAAACGUUAAAGGUUAAAGUUAGUUACGGCGUGAGACGUUGCCGAACGGGACGACGACCGAGGGGAGGUUAGG